GAAAUUAAGGGCGUGUGGUGGAUGCCUUGACUAGAAGGGGCGAUGAAGGACGUGGCGUAGCUGCGAUAAGCCUCGGGAAGGUGCGUAGCAACCUUUGAUCCGGGGAUUUCCGAAUGGGGGAACCCAAUCGCGUAAACCGCGAUUACCCAUGUUCAAAAGAACAAGGGAGUAUACCCGCUGAAGUGAAACAUCUCAGUAAGCGGAGGAAAAGAAAACAAGUCCUGCUAAAACAGGACACCAUUUCCUUAGUAGCGGCGAGCGAACAGGAAAGAGCCUAAAUCCAAUUUGCAAAAAUUGGAGGUUGUAAGGCAAAUACGUUUCUCUUUCUAAUUUUUUUUAAGUUUGACUCGAGUAUUUAAAAAAUAGGAAGAGAAAGAGAGUUACAAAAUUUUUGGUUAGCCAAAUAGGCUGGAAAGCCUAACCAAAGAAGGUGAGAGUCCUGUAGGCGAAAACCAAAAAUCUCUCUAGUAUUUGUCCUUGAGUACUUCGAGAAAAGAUAACCUCGGAGGAAUCUGCCAGAACUAAACUGGCAAGGCUAAAUAUCCUUCUAGAUCGAUAGUGGACAAGUACCGUGAGGGAAAGGUGAAAAGUAGGCCGGUGAGGCCGAUGAAAUAGAACCUGAAACCAUACGCUUACAAGGACUCGGAGUCUUGGCAUUAUGUCAGGAUGACGGGGUGCCUAUUGAAGAAUGAGCCAACGAGUGUAUAAGUGUUGCUUUGGUUAAUCCUGCUUAGCGGGAAAAGCCUUAGAGAAAUCGAGUUUUAAAAGAGCUUUUACUACUUCUUCGCAAUUUUUAUUACGAAGUGGUAGUAAGGUAGCACUUAUACGACCCGAAGCCAAGCGAGCUUACCAUGACCAGGGUGAACCUUGUCGAAAGAUAGGAGGAGGCCCGAACCGGUUGGUUGUGCAAAACCUUCGGAUGAGUUGUGGUAAGAAGUGAAAAGCUAAUCGAGCUUGGUAAUAGCUGGUUCUCUCCGAAAUAGCUUUAGGGCUAGCGGUCAUUCAUUCAACUUGUGGGGGUAGAGCUACUGGUUUAAUCGUAAAGGGCGAAAGCUCGGCGAUUAAGUCAAACUCCGAAUACCAUAAGCGAGAAUGACCAGUAAGACUACGGGGGCUAAGCUUCGUGGUCAAAAGGGCAUGAACCCUGAUCGCCGUCUAAGGUCUCUAAAUUUUGGUUAAGUGUCAAAGGAAGUGAUCAGCCGAAGACAGAUAGGAUGUUGGCUUAGAGGUAGCCAUCAUUUAAAGAGUGUGUAACAACUCACUAUCAUAUUUUGACUUCGGUCAGAAUUGGCUGAUCGCGCCGAAAAUGUAGCGAGGCUUAAACCAGAUACCGAAGACGCGACUCAUCAAAUUUUUUAUAUUUGAUGGGGGUAGGAGAGCAUUUCUUUUGCAGUGAAGUCGUACUCGCGAGAGGCGAUGGAGCAAAAGGAAGAGAGAAUGUUGGCAUGAGUAACCGCAUGUCCGAUGAGAAAUCGGACCGCCGAAAAUUCAAGGUUUCCGUGGCAAUGGCAAUCAUCCACGGGUUAGGCGAGCCUAAGGCAAUGGUGAAAACCGUAGCUGAUGGAUAGCUGGUUAAUAUUCCAGCCCUUCCUAUAGAUUUCUGAUGGAGUGACGAAGGACAUAAGUCCGAGCGCCUUAUUGGUUUGGCGUCCUUGAUUUUAAGAAGUGUUUGCUAGGUAAAUCCGGCAAACUGUCUUUAAUGAUAAACUUCGCAAAUCGAGGAAAUCCUGCUUCGGCGGGAAAUUCGGGUGAAGAGCCUUCCGAGAAAAACUUCUAAUGUUAGUUUAUAGGAACUCGUACCGGAAACCGACACAGGUGGAUUGGUGUAAGAGCACUAAGGCGAACGGGUGAAUCCUCGUUAAGGAACUCGGCAAAAAAGCGGCCGUAAGUUCGCGAUAAGGCCUUCCAGCUCUUUUGGACAAUGAUCGCGUUUUAUUAAUUAGUUGAUAAUUUCACAUAUAUCAACCAAAGUUAUAGAACGUUGUUAUUGUCCAAAAGAGCUGGACGCAGCGAAAGAACCUCUAGCGACUGUUUAAUAAAAACACAGGUCCCUGCUAACUCGUAAGAGGAUGUAUAGGGGCUGACGCCUGACCGAUGCGAGAAGGUCAACGUUGCCGGUUAUCGUUUGUUUUUAACAGGCGGUAGCUGAGUGACCGAAGCCCUCGUCAAUGUCGGCGAUAACUAUAAUCGUCCAAAGGUAGCGCAAUUCCUUGUCGGGUAAGUUCCGACGCGCAUGAAUGGCGUAACGACUAGAGGACUGUCUCAACGAGGAGCCCGGUGAAAAUGCGAUUCCAGCGAAGACGCUGGGUACCCGCGGCAAGACGAAAAGACCCCGGGAGCUUUACUGUAGCUUGAUAUUGGGUUUAAGCCGCUACUGCGUAGCAUAGGUGGGAGACUAUGAAGUCCUGAUUCCGGUUGGGAUGGAGUCGCCAGUGAAAUACCACUCUGUAGCAGUUUAAAUUCUAACUUCAGCGGCAAAAACGUUGGAGGACAGUGUCUGGCGGGCAGUUUUUCUGGGGCGGAAUCCUCCAAAAGAGUAACGGAGGAGUUUACUAAGGUCGGCUAGGUGCGGAUGGAAAUCGCACUGGUUGUGUAAAGGCAUAAGCCGGCUUAACUGUGAGGCUGACAAGCCGAACUCGAGUUUUAUAAACUCGACGGUCCGCAUUUUUUUAAUUUGCGGAUUGAGAUGCGAAAGCAGAACUUAGUGACCCGACGGUUCUUUUUAGAAAGACCGAAGACAUCGGACAAAAGCUACCCCGGGGAUAACAGGCUAGUCAGACCCGAGAGUCCCUAUCGACGGUCUGGUUCGGCACCUCGAUGUCGGCUCAUCCUAGCGCGGGGCUGGAGAAGGUCCCAAGCGUUUGGCUGUUCGCCAAUUAAAAGGAUACGUGAGCUGGGUUUAAACCGUCGUGAGACAGGUUAGUCUCUACCUGCCGUGGGCGUUUGACACUUGAGGGAAGUUGACCCUAGUACGAGAGGACCGGGUUGAACGAACCUCUGGUGUACCGGCUUUUCCACCAGGAGAAAUGCCGGGUAGCUAUGUUCGGUUGGGAUAAGCGCUGAAAGCAUCUAAGCACGAAGCCCAUCCCAAGAUUAGGUGUCAUCACCUCCUAGGAGACGACUAGGUUGAUAGGCUCCAGGUGUAAGAUCUGUAAAGAUUUUAGCCGAGGAGUACUAAUUAGGUGGUUUU
rnacentral:rRNA from 1 species